rnacentral:misc_RNA from 1 species
AAAAAAAGAGAAAGAAAAUGAAAUAUGCUUGUGAUACAGGUUAUAACCUAUUGAACUUUUUUGCCUAUUUAUAAUUUAGCAAACAAUAAAUUUUGGUGAAGAUCAAUUUUUGAAUGUAAUUCUUUUGUUGUAGCCCAUGAUUCUUUCGCCAAAGCCAUCAAUGGUGUCAAAGUAGUAGACACAUGAAAAAAAUAAAAAGAACAUGAUAAGGUAG